UCUGUGGAUAGAUCCAGUGUAACUGGUGCAUUUUCAUUUCAAAGAACAGAAAGUGAGGUUUGAACAGUGCCACAUUUUGGCCUAAGAAAGAGGGACCUUGUGCUCUUAGAGGUCCCCACAUAUCACAAACACACACCAACAACAAAUUUAUUAAAGACUCUAUGGCUGCUUCUGUCACCAAGGAUCUGGCACUCAAGGCCGGCAGAGCAUGACUCACAACUCUAAGCAUUCACUUUCAGGCUAACACCAUUCGGGUUCCAAAGAAAUACUGCCCCUCAGGUCCUGCUUGUGAGAGAAAACGUUAUCUGAAAGUUGUGGUCAUAGACACUGCUUCAGAGCACGAAGAAGAUUUGAGGAACAAAAGUAUUCAAGAAGAGAAGACAAAUCAUUAACUUGUCAAAUCUUUCCUCUCAGAAAGCUUGAAUGCAGCAGAUUCUUGCAUAAUGAGACCCUGCUUAUACCCAGAAGUGAAAUUGCUGGAUGAUCAGUCCUACAGAGCACUAGUUUCUGCAGAGUACAAAUUAUGUGAAAAAUCUGGAUUAUAAGAAC
rnacentral:lncRNA from 1 species